rnacentral:rRNA from 1 species
ACAUGCAAGUCGAACGGAAAGGCCCUGCUUGCAGGGUACUCGAGUGGCGAACGGGUGAGUAACACGUGGGUGAUCUGCCCUGCACUUCGGGAUAAGCUUGGGAAACUGGGUCUAAUACCGGAUAGGACCGCACUUUAGUGUGUGUGGUGGAAAGUUUUUUCGGUGUAGGAUGAGCUCGCGGCCUAUCAGCUUGUUGGUGGGGUAAUGGCCUACCAAGGCGGCGACGGGUAGCCGGCCUGAGAGGGUGUACGGCCACAUUGGGACUGAGAUACGGCCCAGACUCCUACGGGAGGCAGCAGUGGGGAAUAUUGCACAAUGGGCGCAAGCCUGAUGCAGCGACGCCGCGUGGGGGAUGAAGGCCUUCGGGUUGUAAACUCCUUUCGCUAGGGACGAAGCUUUUUGUGACGGUACCUAGAUAAGAAGCACCGGCUAACUACGUGCCAGCAGCCGCGGUAAUACGUAGGGUGCGAGCGUUGUCCGGAAUUACUGGGCGUAAAGGGCUCGUAGGUGGUUUGUCGCGUCGUCUGUGAAAUUCUGGGGCUUAACUCCGGGCGUGCAGGCGAUACGGGCAUAACUUGAGUGCUGUAGGGGUAACUGGAAUUCCUGGUGUAGCGGUGAAAUGCGCAGAUAUCAGGAGGAACACCGAUGGCGAAGGCAGGUUACUGGGCAGUUACUGACGCUGAGGAGCGAAA